rnacentral:rRNA from 1 species
UACGUAGGGUGCGAGCGUUGUCCGGAAUUACUGGGCGUAAAGAGCUCGUAGGUGGUUUGUCGCGUCGGUAGUGAAAACUCAGGGCUCAACCCUGAGCGUGCUUUCGAUACGGGCAGACUAGAGGUAUGCAGGGGAGAAUGGAAUUCCUGGUGUAGCGGUGGAAUGCGCAGAUAUCAGGAGGAACACCGGUGGCGAAGGCGGUUCUCUGGGCAUUACCUGACGCUGAGGAGCGAAAGCGUGGGGAGCGAACAGGAUUAGAUACCCU